GUCUGCAACAAUCUCUAGGUAGAUGGUACAUGUCAAAGUAACAUCCACAUGAAUGCCAAGGUUUCCCAUAAGAACAUUUCCCAGAGUAAAAUACUGCCUCCACCAGCCUUAUUUUUUCCCAUAGUACAUACUGCUGCCAUCUCUUUCCCACCUGAAAAGGAAAAUAGACAUGUGCAAUUCGUUUUAGUCCGAAUAUGAAUUCUGACAAAUUUCGGG